GUAAUGUUCUUUCUCAUUCCUUUUCAGUUAUGUGUUGAUGGUUAACAGCUUACACCCUAAAUUAAAAGUUGUUAGCUAUUUUGUACUCAGUAAGUGAAUAACCUAAAUUAACCAUCAUAUCUUGCUUAUUUUGAAACUUACUCAGACUUUCAAUGACACUAUUUUUAAAAGUUUUAGGCUCAGCUUUCCAGGUCAGUAUAUUUCUGACAUUUGUUGUUUGCUUUUGUACAGUAUGCUGAAGGUUUUUAAUCGAGCUGAGGCGUUUGACGACCAUACCUCCAAUACUAAGUUUGAUUAUGGUGGUUCUUCUUCUUCCAAGGCUUUUCCGAACCCAAAGCAUUCUUGAUUAUGAUCUGUAUACUUACAAAUUCGGAACAAUAUUGGGCUGCGAUCCAAGACCCAGAGGGAUGUCAUUAAAGGUUUGACGAAUCUGUGAAUGUCAAGCAGCUUGAGAACAUAUUGUGAUCCAUGUCAACUUCCACUAUCGGAUAGCCUAUCCGCAGCAAAGCGCGGGCACACUUUCUAGUUUUCUUUUGUUCUUUGGUUGAUGAUAAGUGUUAUUCAAUUGAUCAAACAUGUUUAUCAGCUAUAUAUGUAUUUG